UCAAGUGAAGAUGAAGAGACCAAGUUAAAUUUCAAAUCAGUUGUAACUCAUACUCAUACUUCCUGAUUUAAUCAACUUCAUAGAACUUCUGAAAGAUAAAUGAGACAUGAGCUAUAUAUGCUGCCUCAAGACUAAAAACAGAGGUGUUGAUUUUUAUGUACAAAAUUUUAAAACCAAUUACUCUUAAAGGAAUAUUAGAAAUAAGAUCUUUUUAGCUGAAGAUGUCUCAUUCAGUUGAUUUCAACCAAAUUGAAGUUGAUAAGUCUUUCUGUUUUAAAGAUUCCACUUGCUACAGCCCAUAGGAAAAGACUAUAUAAAACUUUUAUGGUAUAAGCAUGUCUCUCUGGACCACAGAAGGAUUUAUGCACAAUUUUUUAAAAAAUGAAUUCAUAAGCAAUUACAUCUGCAAAAUACUCCUACUGUGAAUACAGACAUAAAGGACCCUUAAUAGGUGGACAUACGAACAAAUUAUAACUGCAUGCCAUGGAUUUGUUAUUAACGUGAUGAUUCCAACAACAAUCAUGAGGAUCAAGCUAUUUUUAAAUAUUAAUUUUUUUAUUUAGGGUAAAGGUGAAUGAAAGAACAGAUACUAUAGCAGCGGUGUUAAACUGCUGGCCCACGGGCCAGUUUCAUCAUACCGGAGCCGUGCCCACCCCAUUGCCAGCAAUAGCGAAAAAGCUCCGAUACGUUGCACGACAUCAUAUGACGUCGCAGGAAAGGCCAUUGACAGAAAACAAACAAACAAACCUAAUGGAUGGCACUGGGGUACUUUAUAGAAUAUUCAGGACUUGUUGAUUUUAUUCUGGACAGAAGAAACAAAUACUGAACUGUUUGUCAAUGAAUUCAGAGAGAUUGAAUAAUGUUUUCUAUUAAUGAAAUCCAUUUGUAAAUUUAACCCAAAAUAACUGAAACAAUAGAAAUAAGAAAUGCAUAAGGAAAAAGUAGUAUAGAAAUUUCUUUUUUAAAUUUAAUUAGAUUGAGGAAUGCAAAUCUAUGCAAAUACUGGAAUGUGUAAUGACUGCUAAUCCUCACUAUGGGAACACUUCUGUACAAAAUAUAUCUAUACUCAUGCUCUUAUUCCAUUUGGGGAUAAAUAUUAUGAUGCAUAUUAUAUCAGCACCAUUUGCUAUACCUCUCAAUAACUUUCUGUACUUGCAAAUCAUCCUUGCUUCCACAGCAUCCAUUUAACUAACAAUAUAAUAUAUUUAAUAAAAGAUGCUAACAAUGAUUAAUUGAGUUCAAAAUAUGAGAAAUUUAUAACCUAUAACUACUCUGUUAAAUACUCUGGUUUACCAUGCAAGCAUUAGUAAAUGUGGUUCAGCUGCCAUCCAGUGGGUGAUUUGUCAUUUGCAACCAUUGCAAAUAUUGAGAGUUGUGAAUAAAUCAGUGAUGAAAGACCUAA